AGCGAACGCUGGCGGCAGGCCUAACACAUGCCAGUCGAACGAACCUUUCGGGGUUUGUGGCGGCCGGGUGAGUAACACGUGGGAACGUGCCUUUAUGUUCGGAAUAACUCAGGGAAACUUGUGCUAAUACCGAAUGUGCCCUUCGGGGGAAAGAUUUAUCGCCUUUAGAGCGGCCCGCGUCUGAUUAGCUAGUUGGUUGAGGUAAUGGUUCACCAAGGCGACGUUCAGUAGCUGGUCUGAGAGGAUGGUCAGCGACAUUGGAGCUGAGACACAGCCCAAAAUCCUACGGGAGGGAGCAGUGGGGAAUCUUGCGAAAUGGGCGAAAGCAUGACGCAGCCAUGCCGCGUGAAUGAUGAAAGUCUUAGGAUUGUAAAAUUCUUUCACCGGGGACGAUAAUGACGGUACCCGGAGAAGAAGCCCCGGCUAACUUCGUG
rnacentral:rRNA from 1 species